rnacentral:lncRNA from 1 species
AGGCAGAGAGGCCUGGAAGCUGCGCAGCUUCUGGACGCAACCCCCCUCCCCUCGAUCAUCUUCUCCGUCAGGCCCCAGCAGCCCACCAUGGCCGCUGCUUCUUCUUCAUGAAGCUCAAACAUGACGCCUGGAAAUUGAAAGGAGCACAACUUUACAUUAGAGAGACCCCCUCACAAAGCUUCUCAUCGUCUUCUUCAUGGAUAUGGCAAGAAAACUCCAUUGAAGCUCCUCCACCUCAAAACCUUUCAGUUGCGGCACGUCAAAACGACCCCCAUCAGUUUUUGUUCUGCUCUUUCACUAUUUUCGCAAUUUGAGACCUCCUCCUAAUUCCCAAAUAAAUCCAGCAACCAAACAACUCCAACUUGCUGCGGUUUGUCGGAAACUAGACGCACGAUGUCGCUGGCGACCACCAUUGAAACCGGAAAGCACACAUACAUAGCUACCGCUCCAUCCUCUCACAUCUGUUGCUACCAAGAUAGAUCAAAAAUAAAGCAGAAAUAAUGGUGGAACGUGAGAGGUUUUCAGUCGUCGAGCUGUCGAGGUUGUCGUCGUCCGUUCGAGGCUUAAUUUCCGGUUCGAGGUUCAGGUCAUUAGCUCGCUUGCUGGUUCAUUAUAUCAGAGGUUUCUCUCAUUAUAUAGGCUAAAGAAAAAUAAAUCUUCAAGCUAAUUGGGCUGAAAAUGUUAUUUGUUCGCUGCUCAAGUUUUGUCGGCCUUCCUCUACUAAUAUCACCUGGAGUCGUCUACAAGAUCAAGUCGAAAAUUAUUUGGCUUAAAGGUCCACUCUCUCAUUAAUACCCAUUUUAUUUUGCUAAUUUAUCAUGUUGCAUCUGUUUUGUGUGAUAGGAAGCAUGAGCAGUAGCCUUAGUUUAUUUUGAAUUGUCAUCAUGGCCUUGUUUCAAAAAUGCUUCCACAUUUUUCUAGUAUAGUUCUGUCAAUAUUAGUUUUCCAUGGGUACUUAUACUUGAUCUCUGAUUUCGUUAGUUAGUUGGGUAUAUAUGAAUAAGCUUCUCCAAUAAUCUCAAAUUUAGGAAGAAUAGUGAUCCUCGUAGCUUGCUUUAGGCACGUAAAUACUAUUACAACUAUGGGUAAGGUUCCCGUGACGAGAUUGUGAUACUUAAUUUUUUUAUAAUAAGUAGGAGUAUUAAAGUUUUCCUUAUCUAAAUAAAUUUCUUUUCCUUAUAAUUCGGGACGUACCGUUUAGCGAAUUUUUAUGGCCUCCAGCAAAUUUGCAAACGCGUAAUUGUUUUAGGCGCGUUAGUUUAAUAUUUACCUUUCCUAAAUUCGUGUGCACAUUUAUGUGACCCAAAUUCGAAUCCCAACGAAGUUGAAAUGUAUUAAAAAAUACGGGUGCAUUUAUGUGACGUGGUUCAAGGCAUGUUUUAAAGCCGUUGCAAUGCCUUUUUAAAACUAAUAAUAAUAAUGAUAAUAAUAAUAAAAGUGGUUUAAGGUUAAAAAGCACAUAAGUUAAAACAUGUUCUAAAAUCAGAUAAUUUAAGCCAAAUAUGACAGCUGAGCGACCGUGCUAGAACCACGAAACCCGGGAACGCCUAACACCUUCUCCCGGGUUAACAGAAUUCCUUACUCGGAUUUCUAGUUCACGGAUUUUAAACAGAGUCAUUCUUUUCCUUGAUUCGGGAUUCUGGUGAUUGGGACACCAUAAAUCUCCCAAGUGGCGACUUUGAAAUUCUCUAAAAAUUGAAUCCCAUCUCGAUUGUCCUUUAAUUGGAAAAACUCCCUUAUCUACGCCCUUCGCCGGGUCGUAGUAGCCAAAAGGAGGUGUAACAAUACUGACAAGCAUAGACUAUAUUCUCUUGUAGAUAAUGGUGAAAUCAUGAGGUAGAAGUUAUAAACAAAAAGGCAAAGGAGAGUCCUCCCGGGGUAGGGGAUGAGGCAUAGACUCUGCUGGGGACCGAACCUAGAGUCUCUGGUUUAGGGUUCAAGAAUUCGAGCUUAGAAUAAUUGUUGUAUUUGGAUUUGUUUAUUAUUUGAUUUUACAUGUUGACUUAAUGUGCAAAAUGAUGCUUUUACCGCUUGAUAUUAUUUGAAUUGUAUAUAUACUGUUACGAAACCAUUUUCUCUUUAUGUUCGGGGAUGUGCUCGCUGGGCGAGACCCCCUAUUCUGUUAUUCUCAUACCUUAAAAUAAGAAAGAGGCUCGGACAAGUUACAAAGCCGGACGAUCUCGCAGGCCCCCGGUACGUAGCCCCCUCCUCGACUUGAGUUGUCCGCUCGGGUACACAGACUAGAAUAAAUACCCAAGUGCUGAACUUAGUAUAACAAAACCACAUGCCGGAUCCCUAGUAGGAACGCUUAUCUGCAUCAUGCAUUUGACUUAGGGGACGCAACACAGGGGUUGGGUCCGUCUAGGACAUGUAUACCCAAAAUAAUAGACUAUCCUGAUGCAUCCUAAUGUGAUACAUGUUGCAUUUCUCCAAGGGUGAAAGUGUCAUUUGGUGGACCAAUUAUAGCUGAGGGUAAAUGGAAAAAGAAGAAGAGAAAAACAAUGAAAAAAAGAGGGUGAAGGGUGAAAAUAAAGCAAGUAGGAUUAGUUAUGUUUUUGUUAUAUUUUAUUAAAAAAGAGACAAAGAAUAUGUGAAAAAUUCAAAAAAAGAAUAUUUCACAAUUUUUUAUUAUUUCCUGAAAAUCAAUAAAAAAAGAAAAAAAAGAGAAAAUCCAAAAUAUACGAAAGAAAAUGUUUUCUUUAAAAAACUAGCUGUUUUUUUAAUUAUUUCUUGCCUGUAUCCAAUUUGCCCGAAGUACGCAAACCUGAUUCUCGUCUUUUAAGGCGUGAUACGUAGGCAACCCACAUAGGGUUCGGUUUUCCUAGUAAAUCUUAUAUUCUUGGCUAUACGGGGUCAUAGCCAGAUUUUGCACUUCUAGCUACUUUUAGCCACAUAGUUUAGUUUUAGAAUUCAGAAGUUGCUUGGUGGAAAUUGAGUGAAUUGAGUUAUGUCAAUGGACUCUACUAUUGAAAUUCUUAGAGUUCAAGUUGGAAUUCUCUUGUCAAACUUCUUUUAUGCUGGUGAAAGUUCUGUUGAAAUCAGUCUUUAUUUGUUGGGGCGUUGUUUUGUGAUUUUAAUUCAAUCAAUGAGUUGUUGGUGGGGCCAUGUUUGAAAGUAAAUCAUGCAUUGUACACCAUUUAUCUCUGUGCUAUGACUGCGGAUUUCUGAAGCUUGUUUGUUGAAAUUUGCCACUAUUCAUGGAAAAGUUUCUGGAGUAAAUUGAUAGCUAAUAUUCUCCUAGUUUGAACUUGUUACCACUGGUUUCUAAUAGCUGUUAUUGUUGUUGAGUUUAAUAGAGGAGAUUCAAUUGGAAUAAAGAUUGAGCAGCUUGAAUUGUGAUUUGCUUGAAUAUAUAGUAAGCAUACUCUGCCGAAAUUUUGUGUCCAUUGAGAUUUAUGCGCAAGUUUAGCAGUGAUAGUUUGAACUCUUGUUUUUACUUCUAAAAAGUUCUCUUUGUUGAAUUGAAUGCUCUUGUUACAUAAACUAUUGCCCAGUUGGUUAGAACGUGCUGACAGAAGUUGUAUGUUUGCUGGAAAAUAAUUUGCUGCUUGUUUUCUGUUGCUGUAAAGGAAUUCAUACUUGCUGUUCACAGCCCUGCAUUGUUCAUUUUUCGCUCAACAAUGAAAAUUUCUGCUUGUUGCUGUAAAGUAUUUCAUACUUGCUGUUCACAGCCCUGCAUUGUUCAACAAUGAAGAUUUUCACAUUUCUUUAAUUGAUUGUUGUUACAAUAGUUUUUCUUAUAAGUUGAGGGAAUUUUGCAAAGGUUUUAGCUUCAGUUAGCUCAACUGCGUUGCUUCAGUUUAUAUGCCAACAAUAUACUAUUGACAUUCAAGUUUUGAGCUAAAUUUAAUGCUCAAGGUGUUGCUGAAGGUUGAGUUUUGAGAAGCAAUUGAAUAGCGAACCUGCCAGCUUAUUUGAAUUCUAGAGUUUUGCAUUUAAAUGAAAGUUGUUGAUGUAAUACAAGUUUCCUAAGCAUUAUUUGUAUUUUUCUGCAACAUUUUGUAAACCUGAAACUGGGUGUGGACAUUAGAACUUGUUUAAGAAUUUUGAACUCAAAUAAGAGUGUUUUGGACUGUUAUUGAAGGUUGUUGAAACAACCUUGGAAUUUUUUCACUUUUUGCACUAGUUGUGUAGUGAGUGCAAGUUGAUUUUUCUGCACAUUUGAGUUUAGUUGAUUACAAAUGUUUCGGUUCUGUUAAGAGGGAAUUACAAACUGAAAAAUAUUGCUUAAAGU